rnacentral:misc_RNA from 1 species
GACGAACCGUCCAAACGUUAUUCGGAAUUACUGGGCUUAAAGGGUGCGUAGGCGGCGCGGUAAGUUGGGUGUGAAAUCCCUCGGCUCAACCGAGGAAUAGCGCCCAAAACUACCGUGCUCGAGGGAGACAGAGGUGAGCGGAACUGAUGGUGGAGCGGUGAAAUGCUUUGAUAUCAUCAGGAACACCGGUGGCGAAAGCGGCUCACUGGGUCUUUUCUGACGCUGAGGCACGAAAGCUAGGGGAGCAAACAGG